UGCAGUCGAACGGCAACAGACAAUUUGAUCCUGUGGGUGGCGAGUGGCGGACGGGUGAGGAAUACAUGGGAAUCUGCCCUGUCGUGGGGGAUAACGUAGGGAAACUUACGCUAAUACCGCAUACGACCGGAAGGUGAAAGCGGCGGACCGCAAGGCGUCGCGCGACUGGAUGAGCCCAUGUCGGAUUAGCUAGUUGGCGGGGUAAAGGCCCACCAAGGCGACGAUCCGUAGCUGGUCUGAGAGGAUGAUCAGCCACACUGGAACUGAGACACGGUCCAGACUCCUACGGGAGGCAGCAGUGGGGAAUAUUGGACAAUGGGCGCAAGCCUGAUCCAGCCAUGCCGCGUGAGUGAAGAAGGCCUUCGGGUUGUAAAGCUCUUUUGUCCGGAAAGAAAAGUUCGCGGUUAAUACCCGUGGAUUAUGACGGUACCGGAAGAAUAAGCACCGGCUAACUUCGUGCCAGCAGCCGCGGUAAUACGAAGGGUGCAAGCGUUACUCGGAAUUACUGGGCGUAAAGCGUGCGUAGGUGGUUCGUUAAGUCUGAUGUGAAAGCCCUGGGCUCAACCUGGGAAUGGCAUUGGAAACUGGCAACCUAGAGUGCGGUAGAGGGUAGUGGAAUUCCCGGU
rnacentral:rRNA from 1 species